UUGAUAGGUCAGGUGUGUAAGUGCUGUGAGGCAUUGAGCUAACUGAUACUAAUUGCCCGUGAGGCUUAACCAUACAACACCCAAGGGGUUU
rnacentral:rRNA from 1 species